rnacentral:siRNA from 1 species
CUGGUCCUGUUACUUGCUACUU